rnacentral:rRNA from 1 species
GACGAACGCUGGCGGCGUGCUUAACACAUGCAAGUCGAACGGUGAAGCGCCUUCCUUUUUGGUGGGUGUGGAUGAGUGGCGAACGGGUGAGUAACACGUGAGUAACCUGCCCCCUUCUUCUGGAUAACCGCAUGAAAGUGUGGCUAAUACGGGAUAUUCUGGGUCUGUCGCAUGAUGGGUCUGGGAAAGAUAUUGUUUCGGUGGGGGAUGGGCUCGCGGCCUAUCAGCUUGUUGGUGGGGUGAUGGCCUACCAAGGCGGUGACGGGUAGCCGGCCUGAGAGGGUGGACGGUCACACUGGGACUGAGACACGGCCCAGACUCCUACGGGAGGCAGCAGUGGGGAAUAUUGCACAAUGGGCGCAAGCCUGAUGCAGCGACGCCGCGUGAGGGAUGGAGGCCUUCGGGUUGUGAACCUCUUUCGCCAGUGAAGCAGGCCUGCCUCGUUUGUGGGCGGGUUGACGGUAGCUGGAGAAGAAGCGCCGGCUAACUACGUG